CCAUUUUGUUGUGAGAAUUUGCAAUUUCCCGGCCCGGCAUAAAUAGAUAAUUUGGCGGUUUGUACAUGGUUUGUACUGAAUACUACUGAACUGAACAUAUUUUCAUUACUGGAUAGUGCCGGAAUUGCUGAAAUUGAAUAUCGGAUUGGGAGUAUAGACAGACUCGACAAAGACAUCAACUUUUGAAAAGGAUAAUUACGAAGUACAGCAAAAUUGAAGAUAACAUUAAUGUCAUUAGGAACUUGGAAUUACAGAGAAGUGAUAUAGACUAAA